UACGUAGGGUGCGAGCGUUGUCCGGAAUUAUUGGGCGUAAAGAGCUCGUAGGCGGUUUGUCGCGUCGGCUGUGAAAAUCCGGGGCUCAACCCCGGGCGUGCAGUGGGUACGGGCAGGCUAGAGUGUGGUAGGGGAGACUGGAAUUCCUGGUGUAGCGGUGAAAUGCGCAGAUAUCAGGAGGAACACCGAUGGCGAAGGCAGGUCUCUGGGCCACUACUGACGCUGAGGAGCGAAAGCAUGGGGAGCGAACAGG
rnacentral:rRNA from 1 species